rnacentral:lncRNA from 1 species
CGGGCGCGGUGCACGGGCACCGGCUGUCGACGGUGGUGCCGAGCUCGGUGACGGGGGAGGUGGACUACGCGCUGGCGGACGCCGACCUCGCCUUCAAGCUGCACUACCUGCGCGGGGUGUACUACUACCCGGCCGGGGACGUGGCGCGCGGCAUCACCACCAAGGUGCUCAAGGACCCCAUGUUCCCCUGGCUCGACGACUACUUCCCCGUCGCCGGCCGCGUCCGCCGCGCCGACGACGACGCCGCGGGUCGCCGCCCCUACAUCAAGUGCAAUGACUGCGGCGUCCGCAUCGUGGAGGCCAAGUGUGACCGCGACAUGGCCGACUGGCUCCGCGACGACGCGCCCGACCGCCUCAGGCAGCUCUGCUACGACAAGGUCCUCGG